AAAAUAGGAUGAAGUUUAAUUUACGAGCCUUGGGGCAAAAGUGCAAAUAUGUGAAAGUUUAGGGGCAAAAAUGUAAUUUUUCCAAAGUUUGAGUAAAGGGUUGUUUUGAUAAAUGUUGAUAUUAAAUAAGCUAAAUUUGCUAUUAUAGAUCAAGAAGAGCGAAAUUCGAGAGUAGAUCGGGGAAAAGAAAAAGCAAAGGACUAAAUUGUAAAGUUUAGUCACAUUUUGUAUCGAGUACUUAUCUAGCCACUCGGGGAUCGAAGGAAAUGUCGGAGGCCGAUCACACUAUCAAAGAAAUAACUCGGUAUAAUUAGACGUUUUGUUUUGUGUAUGGCAUGUAUAGAAACUUAGCCACUUUUGGUAUAAUAUGAACAAUGAAUGAUGUGUAAAUA